GGAAGGGUAGGAAAGUGGUUUACUCCAGCAGUCUUGAAAACUGCCGUGUCGAAAGGCACCGUGGGUUCGAAUCCCACCCCUUCCGCCA
rnacentral:tRNA from 1 species